rnacentral:rRNA from 1 species
CAGCAGUCGCCGCGGUAAUACAGAGGGUGCGAGCGUUAAUCGGAUUUACUGGGCGUAAAGCGUGCGUAGGCGGCUUUUUAAGUCGGAUGUGAAAUCCCUGAGCUUAACUUAGGAAUUGCAUUCGAUACUGGGAAGCUAGAGUAUGGGAGAGGAUGGUAGAAUUCCAGGUGUAGCGGUGAAAUGCGUAGAGAUCUGGAGGAAUACCGAUGGCGAAGGCAGCCAUCUGGCCUAAUACUGACGCUGAGGUACGAAAGCAUGGGGAGCAAACAGGAUUAGAUACCCCUGUAGUCCCUGUCUCUUAUAC